rnacentral:sRNA from 1 species
AGUGAACUUCGUUUGAAGUGGAAAUCCUUUUGUGCCGGUGUUCGGCACAAAAGAUUGAAACGGAAAGCGGGAGGAUGU